rnacentral:rRNA from 1 species
UACGGAGGGUGCGAGCGUUGUCCGGAUUUAUUGGGUUUAAAGGGUGCGUAGGUGGCUUUUUAAGUCUGUUCUGAAAGUUGGUCGCUUAACGAUCAAGGGUGGAUGGAUACUGGGGAGCUUGGAUCAGGUGGCGGUUUCUGGAACGGGUCGUGUAGCGGUGAAAUGCAUAGAUAUGACCCAGAACUCCGAUUGCGAAGGCAGGAGGCUACGCCUGGAUUGACACUGAGGCACGAGAGCAUGGGGAGCAAACAGG